rnacentral:rRNA from 1 species
UACGUAGGGUGCAAGCGUUAAUCGGAAUUACUGGGCGUAAAGCGUGCGCAGGCGGUUUUUUAAGACAGGCGUGAAAUCCCCGGGCUUGACCUGGGAACUGCGUUUGUGACUGGAAGGCUAGAGUAUGGCAGAGGGGGGUGGAAUUCCACGUGUAGCAGUGAAAUGCGUAGAGAUGUGGAGGAACACCGAUGGCGAAGGCAGCCCCCUGGGCCAAUACUGACGCUCAUGCACGAAAGCGUGGGGAGCAAACAGG